AUUGAACGCUGGCGGCAGGCCUAACACAUGCAAGUCGAGCGGUAACAGGGAUAGCUUGCUAUCUGCUGACGAGCGGCGGACGGGUGCGUAACACGUAGGAAUCUACCCAGUAGCGGGGGAUAGCCCGGAGAAAUCCGGAUUAAUACCGCAUACGCCCUACGGGGGAAGCAGGGGAGUCUUCGGACCUUGCACUAUUGGAUGAGCCUGCGUCGGAUUAGCUAGUUGGUGGGGUAAAGGCCUACCAAGGCGACGAUCCGUAGCUGGUCUGAGAGGAUGAUCAGCCACACUGGGACUGAGACACGGCCCAGACUCCUACGGGAGGCAGCAGUGGGGAAUAUUGCACAAUGGGCGCAAGCCUGAUGCAGCCAUGCCGCGUGUGUG
rnacentral:rRNA from 1 species